rnacentral:rRNA from 1 species
UACGUAGGGUGCAAGCGUUGUCCGGAAUUAUUGGGCGUAAAGAGCUCGUAGGCGGUUUGUCGCGUCGAAUGUGAAAACCCAGGGCUUAACUCUGGGCUUGCUUUCGAUACGGGCAGACUAGAGGUAUGCAGGGGAGAACGGAAUUCCGUGGUGUAGCGGUGAAAUGCGGCAGAAUAUCAGGAGGAACACCGGUGGCGAAGGCGGUUCUCUGGGCAUUACCUGACGCUGGAGGAGCGAAAGUGUGGGGUAGCGAACAGGAAUUAGAAACCCGUUGGUAGUCCAAGACCGAAUGUAC